rnacentral:rRNA from 1 species
AUUGAACGCUGGCGGCAGGCCUAACACAUGCAAGUCGAACGAGUGGCGGACGGGUGAGUAAUGUCUGGGAAACUGCCUGAUGGAGGGGGAUAACUACUGGAAACGGUAGCUAAGACCGCAUACCAUCGGAUGUGCCCAGAUGGGAUUAGCUAGUAGGUGGGGUAAAGGCUCACCUGGGCGACGAUACCUAGCUGGUCUGAGAGGAUGACCGGACACCCGGGAACUGAGACACGGUCCAGACUCCUAGGUGAGGCAGCAGUGGUGAAUAUUGCACGAUGGGCACAAGCCUGAUGCAGCAAUGCCGCGUGGGUGAAGAAGGCCUUCGGGUUGUAAAGCACUUUCAGCGAGGAGGCGUUACUCGCAGAAGAAGCACCGGCUAACUCCGUGCCAGCAGCCGCGGUAAUAC